CUUGCAGAAGACCAGUAAGAAGCUUCACCACUGGAAGAAGCAGCAGAAUUUCCACCUGACUGUCAACAUCACACAGAUCUUUGGUGAAGCAAAGAAAGAUCACUACUUCUAAAAUAGUCCUAGCUGCCAUCGCUGUGAACAGCAAAAUUUGGAGAGUUGCCAUGAUCAUGGUGUUUCUUCACAACAAUGGAAAUCCUAAAAUACCAGGCUACUGCCAAAGCAAUUAGCUUCUCUCCACAAACUGACAGCAAUGCCCUGUUGCUGAAGACAAUACCUGUAUAACUCACUGCACGUGGAGAAGUUGAGCCAGUGUCCACCUGGAAACUUCACUUCUACUAAAAGCAUUCCUGGUACUAGAAUGUACUCUGCAUGCUACAAAAAGAAAAAAUAAACAGCAAUCCAGCUACAAACCCUUGAAUCUGCAAUGGUGACCUGAUCUGCCAAAAAGAUACAUGGGUAAAAUAGUGACAUAAAAGUUGUGGUAGUAACUAACCACUAUCUGUUUGGAAGUAAAGCCCACUCCGUGAGAUAGGACCCAUGUCCAACAUGGCUCAGGGAACCAAGAACUUGAGGCUAGAUAUGCCAUAGAUCUAAAGGAAAAUCAAAUACUACUACUGUUCUGCUAAGCUAUAGCAAUGAAAUGACUCCUAAUGACAUUCUUCUAUAUUCAUGGAUCAUUGUCUGUCACAGCCAUCAUCAGAGAAGCUUCCUCCUGCAGUAGAUGGGAACAAAUACAGAGACCCACAGCCAGACAGUGUACAGAGUGAGAAGCCUUGGAACACUCACUCCUGAAUAGGAUGUCUCCAGCAAACCCCACCUCUCAGGACUCAGGGAACUCUGAAGAAGAGGAGGUGGAAAGAGUGUAAGAGCCAGAAAGGAUGACAACAUCAAGGAAACACAGCUUUUCAGACACACCAGGACUGAUGCACAUAAGAUCUCACAGAUACGAUGGCAGCAUGCACAGCAGUGGCUCAAGUCUAAGCCACAUGGGGUCCCUUCCCAGAAAGGGGAAGUGGUCACAAGUCCCCAUCCCUCACCCAGAGGCUAUCUCCAAUUGACAGCUGAUUUUGAUUAUGUUUUCCCUCCCCCAACUACUCCCAGAUCUGUCCCACCUUCUCACUUCCCCAAAUCCACACCCUAUUCUCUCUCUCAUUAGAGAACAAUCAGACAU